GAGGCUGUGGCUCAGUGGUAGAGUGCUUGCCUUGCAAGCAUGAGACACUGGGUUCGAUCCUCAGCACCCAUA
rnacentral:tRNA from 1 species